rnacentral:rRNA from 1 species
AUUGAACGCUGGCGGCAGGCAUAACACAUGCAAGUCGAACGAGUGGCGGACGGGUGAGUAAUGUAUGGGAAUCUGGCCGAUGGAGGGGGAUCACUACGGGAAACGGUCGCUAAUACCGCGUACCAUAGGAUGAGCCCAAAGGGGAUUAGGUAGUUGGUGGGGUAAAGGCUCACCAAGGCGACGAUCUCUAGCUGGUCUGAGAGGAUGACCAGCCACACUGGAACUGAGACACGGUCCAGACUCCUACGGGAGGCAGCAGUGGGGAAGAUUGCGCAAUGGGCGCAACCCUGACGCAGCCAUGCCGCGUGAAUGAAGAAGGCCUUCGGGUUGUAAAGUUCUUUCGGUAGCGAGGCGUUACUUACAGAAGAAGCACCGGCUAACUCCGUGCCAGCAGCCGCGGUAAUUC